rnacentral:sRNA from 17 species
GUCAGGAACCCACGCCUUGAGGCGAGGGCUUGUAGGAGUUAAUUCUUGCGGCGUUGCGCUCUCCUAACCGCUAGCGUCACGCCUCGGCUGUGCCGAAGGCUAAUGAAUUAAAGCCAUAAGCCCCAUACCUGAACGGACUCAGCUUCGGCUUCUUCAGCCUAGGCUACGUUACUAAAACGGGUUAAAAUUCUGACCCUGGAUGGUGUCGAGCCAGUUCCAAACUCUGAA